GUGCACCGCAGAGCCCGGACACAGCGUGCGCGGCGUGUGCGCAUGUGUGCAUGCGUGAGCGUGCGUGUGCGUGCGGAUUCGCCGCGGGCCGUCAGUCCCAGUCGCCGCGGGAGACGGGCAGUGUCUGGAGGAGGGGGCAGGAGGCCAUUUUUGUCUUCUAUAGCUUCGAAUCAAGACUCUCCUUUUAAAAAUGGGUUAAAGAACAAAGUGAGUGAAAACCUAAGCGCCCCCCCUCCCUCCGCAGGAAGCUCUAGUUCCGGGGCUGCGCGGGCCCCGUUUCUCCGGGGGUUAGCGCACGGGAGUUGGGCGCCCACCGCGUCUGCUGCUGAGGUCGGGCGGCCGCAUCCCGGGGCACCUGGGCCUCUUCGUGGCUCCUGGACUCCACAGCGCAGGCCUCCUCUCGCGCUCGGCUCGGCAAUCCCGGGCCCCUGACCUCGGUAGCCGAGCCGCCCACCGUUUCCUCCCCCGAGGGCGUAAACCCGAAUCCACUCUGGCCUCGGGCCUCGGCCUGCGCCUUGGCCGGCGGACCGCCCGGCUCUGAGGAUUCUGGGCGAUGGGGAGGCGGGCUGAGCUCCCCUCCUGACGGGAUUCCGCACGCAUCUGUUUCGGGACCCUGGCCGUGUCCCGGCCUUAACCUCCUCAGCGUUACAACGGGGAUAAUAAACCUUGCUGGCUCGCCCGCCAGGUGGUGGCUGGAUAAUAUAUUCCGGUGGAGGACUGAGGAGGGUUGGCAAAGACUGUCGACUAUUCCGCUGGGUGGCCGUUCACAGCCCUCCCAGAUUGGAGGGUGGAGGGCGGGGGUAGUUCAGCCCCCGGCCUGCGACCUCCCGGAAGAAAGGGGCUCGUGGUCGUUUAGGUUGCGCAGAGCCCGCCACGCUUCCGGCUGGGGCACGUGGCGCCCUUGGGGACCUUCGGCCUCACUGUCCCGAGCUCGGCCUGGGGCGGAGCAGCCUUCUCGGCACCCUGUACUCGGCUCUGCGCGGACCCCACCGUCUCGCCGAGGGCAGCAGCCGUAGGAGACUCCGGAACUUCUGGCCAGAGCAGGAGCUGAGCGUCCCCGACUGAACCGAGGCAGAAAGGGAAGCCCUGUAGGUUGUCCUGAUCUGCAGACGCAGUGGAGGCGACCCUGAGUCUUGCAGGGAAACCAACCCCAGAGAAGACAUUGGCCUCUGAUGGUCAGACCUCCGCGGAGAGUAUCAAAGAAGGAAGUCCCACCAACUCUUCACAAAACUAUAAAACCAUCUAAAAAAAGUAAGCGUCCAUAUGGAUUGAGGGAAACAGUUGAGAAUUAAAAGGCAUCACGAUACAGGGCUAUGAUUAUAUAUGCCAUCAUCCAGGAGACCACAACUACUUGCUUAUGAGGACUGUGCUUAUAAGAUUGUUUUCCUCGUCAGCUCUACCACUUCUUACUUUCAGUGUGCCUGCAUCUACAAGAAAGAAGUGAUCCCAAAGUAAAGCUGGUUUUCAGCAGCCUCUCUGCUCCAAAUGUGACUGGCAUCAAAGUCUAAUGAAAACCUGUUUGCGGACACUGGACCCAUUCCAAGUCCAGUGAUAUCAAAGGAUUACAGCCUGAUUUGCCACAAAACUUCUCAACAAGUCUGAUCAUACAAAUAUUCUUGGAGAUUAUUUUAGGAAGCCUAUAUGCUAGUACUUUUGACUGCAGGAAGGGAAACAAAGUUUCUCCGAAGUGGUCAUUUCCAGGAAGCAAGACUUACCGCUCAUAGCUAAAGAAGACCAGUUUCCGGAGAAACAAGGUUCACAGGUAAAUACCUAAUAUUGAGGCUGCUGGAAGUCUGAUUUCCAGGUACAUGGGUCGAGACUGUAUUCCUAUUUGGGGAAGGUCAAGUCAGAGAAACAUGAUGCUACUGAAUAAUACUUCAAUUCCAGGAGCAUGAACUGAAAACCUCCUAGGAAUCAGGCAGUCCUACAUAGUCCCUGACUUUAAGAACACAGACAGAAAUGUAAGCAAAUAAAUUAUAAUUCAGUAUCAUAACAACAAUAGUGGAAGCAUACUCAAAGUAAAGAGACAGCCCAGGGGGAAGAGAUCUGGAAUCUUCACGUGGGAUGGGAGAAGGUUUUCAAGGAAGCCUUCCCAGAAGAGGUGCUAUUAGAGCUGAACAGGGGUUUCUCAAGAUGAAUCAGACUUGGAAAUAGACAAGCAAAGUAAGGAAAGUCAUUCCAGGCAGAGGGAACAGCAUGAAUGAAGCCAUCAAGCAGUGUGGUACCUAUGGGGAUCUAUAAGUUCAGUAUUGCUGUUCCAUAGAAUGCAAGGUAAUUGGUUCCUUUGGGGAAAAUAAUAACGAUAGCCUAUACACAGGGUGCUUUCCACAUGCCAGGCAGUGUUCUAAGUCUUUAUACAUUAGCACGUUCAAUCUUCCCAGCAACCCUGGAACAUAGGCACUAUUAUUAUUCCUAUUUUGUAGAUGGAAAAACUGAGGCACAGAGAGAUUACUAUAUAAGAUGAUAAUACUGCACAGGUUCUAAGGAAAUAGUAUAUAUUUUUUCUUUUUAUUAAAUCAUUUUUUGUUUUCUUUUUUUUUUGAAUUUUAUUUUUUUUAUACAGCAGGUUCUUAUUAGUUAUGCAUUUUAUACGUAUUAGUGUAUAUAUGUCAAUCCCAAUCUCCCCAUUUUUUGUUUUCUUAAAGCAACUGUUUUAAAAAGUCUGGUCUAGCUGUCCAGGACUGAUAUACUCAGAGGAGAGCAAGAAAGAGUAAUUGGUGAUUAAAGGAAGAGAGAGGUUUUUUUAAAAAAAAUCUUUGAAAAUAGUGUCAUUUAAAGUAAAACAAUUGUGGUAGUGGUGUUGUCUUAGUUCCUUAAGGAUUUUUAGUGCACAUAAAUAGAAAGGAUAAAUAUUUCUUAUGUGAUUAGUAAGCAAAAAAGAGUAUGAAAAGUGGAAAUAAGUAUGUAUGCUUUUUAAUACUUUACAGAAAGUUAUAUUAAAAACUUUAUAAAGGCCCACUGGAUAUUUAUUUUCCCUCCUCCAGUAACAGUCUUAAAUAAAUAUAAUUACUUUUGGACAAUAAAGUGCUUCAACGUCGUAUACUGAAAACCAAUAAAAAAUACCAGUCACUUGGAAGAGGUCCUGUUUGGAGGCUGACCUGGCCCUUACACAGCACAGUCAGAAGGUGAAAGGUUAAAAGUGCAUACUUGAUCUUAGACUGAACAUAAAGUGUAAACUCCGGGUUUGUUUUUUUUUUAAGCCAAAAGUAGUUUUAUUUCCUUCUCUCUUUUUUUUUUUUUAAAGUUAAUUAGCCACUAAUGUGGACAGUCUUAAGGAUCUAAGUCAAUUAGGACACUUCGUACGUAAAUUUUCCAAGCUGAAGCCGCAUGCCCUUUGCAUUUAUAGCUGAUGUACUCUGGAUAAAAUCUCUUUGCAAGGAACAAUAAAAGGCUGAAUGAUGGAGACCAUGAGCUUAGGGUUGAUGUCAUAAAGAAGUUCUCAAUAUUUUGGCACUUCCCUUCUGAUGUGAAGUGUGUUAUUCUCAUUUGGCAGGCGGUGGCCAAGUGGAAUAAGAAAGCGCGUGCUAAGCCACCGCAGCUCUAAAGUGACAGCAAAAGGCAUCUGCUGCAUUUCCCAUUUGGAUUCUGCAGCCCCUUUGAUUCACACCCAGUUUUUUCAGAUUAGAUCUCUGCCAUUUUACUUAUAUAUGUCACUACCACAUUCAAUUCACACAUUAUAACCUGCCACACGGCAUAGCUUUUCUUAUCCUUAUAGAUACAAAUGACAGUAUUUGACCGUUUUAUCUUUAGAAUUAUUUAGUAUCUCCCAACAGUCUGGAUCAUUUCUUUUCUUAUACUUUGUUGAAGUAUGAUUGACAUGAAAAGUUGUACAAAUGAACUUAUUUACAAAACAGAAAUAGAGCCAUAGAUGUACAAAAUAAACUUAUGGUUACCAAGGGGGAAGUGGGGGGGAGGGAUAAAUUGGGAGAUUGGGAUUGACAUAUAUACACUACUGUAUAUAAAAUAGAUAACUAAUAAGAACCUACUGUAUAGCAGGGUGAACUCUACUCAGUACUCUGUAAUGACCUAUAUGGGAAAAGAAUCUAAAAAAGAGUGGGUAUAUGUUUAUGUAUAACUGAUUCACUUAGCUGUGAAUCAGUUGUGUGUUAACAAAAUCAGCUGUUGUGUUAGCAGAAACUAAUACAACACUGUAAAUCAACCAUACUCCAAUAAAAAUUAAUUUAAAAAAUAAAUAAAAUAACCUAUGUGGUAUUCUAACUCUCCAAAAAAAAUAAGUUAUACAUACUUAAUGUGUACAACCUGAUGAGUUUGGAAAUAAGUAUACACCCAUGAAACCAGCACCACAAUCUAUGCUAUACAUGUCACCUCCAAAAGUUUACUCCUGUCCUCUUUAUUAAUUAUUAUUAUUUAGUGAUAAGACAAUUAACAUAAGAUCUACUCUCUUAGCAAAUCUUCUAGUAUACAAUAUGGUACUGUUAUACUGUAUUGUAUAUGUAUAUGUAUACACUCUGUGCUGUGCAGUAGAUCUCUAGGACCUUAUUCAUCUUGUGUAACUGAAACUUGCUGCUUUUUGACUAAUACCUCCUCUCUCUGCUCUCCCAACCCCUGGUAACCACAAGAUCUUUUCAUAAUGAGUGCUUGCUGCUCUAUUUUUAAUACUACCAACAUUUCCAUUUAAAGGGGGAGACAAGCUUCUCUUAUAGCACAGAGUCCUACAUUUCUAAGUUUAAUUUAUAUUUACGAAUAUAGAUUUACAUAUACAUGUGUAUUUUGAGAGCUAUUUCAGAGGAAGAGUUGACAAGUCUUAAUGACUAAUUGGACAUGGGAGGUGAGGGAAAGGGAGAAUUCGAAAACAGUCCUGAGGUUUCUGGCUUGAGCAAAUCUGUGAAUGGUGAUGCCUUUCAAUGCCCAAAUGGACCAGGGCCCAUUUGAAUACACUGGGCUUGAGGUGUCUGUGGGAUGUCCAGGUGGAAAGGGCCAGUGGGUGGUUGGAUGUUUGGCUUUGAAGCUCAGGAUGGGUUUGGGCUGAAGAUAAGGCACAGGGGUCGUCAGCAUCAAGGAGGCAAUGGAAGACAAAGAUGUAGGUGAGCUCAUCAAUCAGAACAAGUAGAAUUUGAAGAGAAGACAACAUCCUAAGGAAGCCCAAUGUUUGAGGAGCUCUAGUGGAAGAGAAGUCACAGAUGGACUGAGAAGGAACAUCCAGAGGGGACAAGAGGAAAAUAAGGAGAGUACAGGGCCCUAGAAGCAAAAGAAAGGCCACAGCUGAAGGAGCCAAGGGGGCUCAACAGCCACGGGGUCACAAAAGAUCAUAACUGCAAAGUCACCUUUGGAUUUAGCAAUGAUGACAUCAGCGACCUUGAUAGGAUCACUUGCAGUUGAUAAGUUGGGGAUCAUCCCAUUAUAAUAAUAGAAACAAUCAUCUUAAAUUAAUGACAUGGAUCUUUAGAAAUUUGCAAAGAACAUUACACGCCUCAUUUCAUGCUCAUAAUACUCUUGUUAAUUAGAUGUGACUGCUUCCAUUACAUAAAUGAAGGGAGAAUUAGAAAGUCAAGUAAUUAUAUAAUAAUAAAACAAUAAUAGUAAUAAAAAUGGUCUUUCUAAAACAUUUACUGUGUGCAAAACAUUGUACUAAACAUUUACUUUGCAUAAAAAGAUUGCAAUGUAGAUUUUAUUAACUCAAUUUAAGGAAGGUCCAGAGAAGUGGGGUAACUUUUCCAGGCUCACACAGCUAGGAAAUGGCAGAAUGGGGCUUUGAACUCAGAGCUGUGGGGUGCUGAAGUACAAAUUCUUUGCACUAUUAAAGACUGCCUCACCAGAUGUUCAGGUUUUCAGGCAAAUAUCACUUUAAAAUUUUUUCUUGAGGGCUCCCCUGGUGGCGCAGUGGUUGAGAGUCCACCUGCCAAUGCAGGGGACAUGGGUUCGUGUCCCGGUCCGGGAAGAUCCCACAUGCCGCAGAGCAGCUGGGCCCAUGAGCCAUGGCCGCUGAGCCUGUGCGUCCGGAGCCUGUGCUCCGCAACGGGAGAGGCCACAACAGUGAGAGGCCCGCAUACCGCAAAAAAAAAAAAAAAAAAUUUU